rnacentral:lncRNA from 1 species
UGGGAGGACGGCUCAUCGGGGGUUCGGUGACUCCACUGACUAAUUUCCACGUGAUGUGAUUAUAUGAAGAUGUUAAUGAUUGUGAGUGCUGGUGAUUUGCCAUUUGUGUGACUGGCUGCGUGAGCAUAUAACUAGUCGGACGACUAGAUUAAUAUGUUUACACAUUUGUGUGACUGCGUGUGUGGUGCAAAAAUUAUUACUCCUUAGAAAACUCACAUAUCUUGUUUGAUUUUUCAGGAAGUAGGUUUUUCCUUUAAUCCGAUUUAGGCUAUGUUUCUUC